UGGGGGAUAUUGCACAAUGGGGGAAACCCUGAUGCAGCGACGCCGCGUGAGGGAAGACGGCCUUCGGGUUGUAAACCUCUGUCUUCGGGGACGAAUAAAUGACGGUAUCCGAGGAGGAAGCCACGGCUAACUACGUGCCAGCAGCCGCGGUAAUACGUAGGUGGCAAGCGUUGUCCGGAAUUACUGGGUGUAAAGGGAGCGUAGGCGGGGAGGCAAGUUGAAUGUCUAAACUAUCGGCUCAACUGAUAGUCGCGUUCAAAACUGCCACUCUUGAGUGCAGUAGAGGUAGGCGGAAUUCCUAGUGUAGCGGUGAAAUGCGUAGAUAUUAGGAGGAACACCAGUGGCGAAGGCGGCCUACUGGGCUGUAACUGACGCUGAGGCUCGAAAGCGUGGGUAGCAAACA
rnacentral:rRNA from 1 species